rnacentral:rRNA from 1 species
CACGUAGGGGGCAAGCGUUGUCCGGAUUCAUUGGGCGUAAAGAGCUCGUAGGCGGUUCGAUAAGUCGGGUGUGAAACCUCCAGGCUCAACCUGGAGACGCCACCCGACUACUGUCGUGACUAGAGUCCAGUAGGGGAGCGUGGAAUUCCUGGUGUAGCGGUGAAUGCGCAGAUAUCAGGAGGAACACCAGCGGCGAAGGCGGCGCUCUGGGCUGGAACUGACGCUGAGACGCGAAAGCGUGGGGAGCGAACAGG